rnacentral:rRNA from 1 species
GCUUUAGGAGGGGCUUGCGCCAUAUUAGUUAGUUGGUAGGGUAAUGGCCUACCAAGACGAUGAUGUGUAGCUGGACUGAGAGGUUGAACAGCCACAUUGGGACUGAGACACGGCCCAAACUCCUACGGGAGGCAGCAGUAGGGAAUUUUCGGCAAUGGAGGAAACUCUGACCGAGCAACGCCGCGUGAAUGACGAAGUACUUCGGUAUGUAAAGUUCUUUUAUCAAGGAAGAAAAGCAAAUGGCGAACCAUUUGUUUGCCGGUACUUGAUGAAUAAGCCCCGGCUAAUUAUGUGCCAGCAGCCGCGGUAAGACAUAAGGGGCAAGUGUUAUCCGGAAUUAUUGGGCGUAAAGGGUGCGUAGGCGGUCUAGUAAGUCAGUGGUGUAAUGGCAACGCUUAACGUUGUCCGGCUAUUGAAACUGCUAAACUUGAGUUAGAUAGAGGCGAGUGGAAUUCCAUGUGUAGCGGUAAAAUGCGUAAAUAUAUGGAGGAACACCAGAGGCGUAGGCGGCUCGCUGGGUCUUAACUGACGCUGAGGCACGAAAGCGUGGGGAGCAAACAGGAUUAGAUACCCUGGUAGUCCACGCCGUAAACGAUGAGUACUAAGUGUCGGGUUAAACCGGUACUGAAGUUAACACAUUAAGUACUCCGCCUGAGUAGUACGUACGCAAGUAUGAAACUUAAAGGAAUUGACGGGACUCCGCACAAGCGGUGGAUCAUGUUGUUUAAUUCGAAGAUACCCGAAAAACCUUACCAGGUCUUGACAUGUUUUUGCAAAAUGAUAGUAAUAUCGUGGAGGUUACCAGAAACACAGGUGGUGCAUGGUUGUCGUCAGCUCGUGUCGUGAGAUGUUAGGUUAAGUCCUAAAACGAGCGAAACCCUUAUCGUUAGUUGCCAGCACGUUAUGGUGGGGACUUUAACGAGACUGCCAAUGAUAAAUUGGAGGAAGGUGAGGAUCACGUCAAAUCAGCAUGCCCCUUAUGACCUGGGCUACAAACGUGAUACAAUGGCUGUUACAAAGGGUAGCUGAAACGCAAGUUCUUGGCCAAUCCCCAAAAACAGUCCCAGUCCGGAUUGAAGUCUGCAACUCGACUUCAUGAAGUUGGAAUCGCUAGUAAUAAUCACAUUGCGGGGAACUUCGGUUGUC